GCCGAAAUAGCUCAGUUAGGAGAGCGUUAGACUGAAAAUCUAAAGGUCCCUGGUUCGAUCCCGGGUUUCGGCA
rnacentral:tRNA from 1 species